rnacentral:rRNA from 1 species
UACAGAGGGGGCAAGCGUUGUUCGGAAUUACUGGGCGUAAAGGGCGCGUAGGCGGCCUCCUAAGUCAGACGUGAAAAUCCCUCGGCUCAACCGGGGAACUGCGUCUGAUACUGGGAGGCUUGAAUCCGGGAGAGGGAUGUGGAAUUCCAGGUGUAGCGGUGAAAUGCGUAGAUAUCUGGAGGAACACCGGUGGCGAAGGCGGCAUCCUGGACCGGUAUUGACGCUGAUGCGCGAAAGCCAGGGGAGCAAACGGG